GAGUUCCAGAGCCUCAAAGAGCACCCAGCAUAACUGUGGGAGAAUAGUAAGCAUUGGACACAAAAUGGUUUAGGCAAAUAAUGAUGAACAAAAAUGGUCAGUCUGUGUUCCUGCUGACCCAGCACAGUGGGGACGCUGUGUAGGACAUGACCUUUGGGGGAAAGGACACAAGAACUCAGCGUGGGGGAUCCAGAAAAGAAGUCGCACGUAUUGAAGCCAGUAACGCCAAGCCAGUGAAUUCUCCUUGACGAGAAAGACCCACUUACUCUGCAGAAGAGAUAUAUGACAGCUGACAAUCCCUGGAGGAGAAUCUUUCUACUAAAUUGGUAAGGGAUGCUAAGCAAAUGAUGUGGACUCAGGAAACAACGCAUUUCAUGAUAUACGGUUGCCUCUCAAGGUGAAUUCGAGACCCCUCUUGAAUUACAAAGAGAGUGAAGAAAAGGAGUAAACGUAAAGAUCUACCCCAAUGUAUUUUACAAAAACAUCUACUUGGAAAUACCGUGGUUUAUUAUUCCUGGCGACACAACUUGGCAUUUUUUUCCCCUUUCUGUUGUGCUUCAUUUUAUUGCGCUUCACAGAUACUGAGUUUUUACUUUUUUUCUUUUCUAGUGUUUCUUUGUUAUUUCUUCAGCCUUCAUUUGUACUCUGUAAAAAAUCCGCAAAUGAAUAUUUUCUGAAGGGAAGGAAAGAAGCACCUUUACCAUUUUGUUAUUCUCUUGUUAUCUGUGAAGUUUGAUUUAUUGGAAACUACCAAGAAAGAAAUUAGCAGAAAUCAUCACAGCAAGACUCUUUAAGGAAUGGAUGGAAUUUAGAAAGGAAUUAGCUGGAAAAAAAUGCAAAAUUUUUAAGUGCCAAUUUUCCAUUUAAUUUUCACCAGCAAUCCCCAUUUCACGAAUGCUGUUUCUGAGCUUGAAAUGUCAAAAUAAUCAAAAAUAAACAUAGCUCACGUACUGAAUUUUAUCAUUAAAAUACUUUGUUUUCCA
ensembl:lncRNA LINC02436 long intergenic non-protein coding RNA 2436